rnacentral:rRNA from 1 species
CACGAAACCAGGCGAGCUACUAUGGGACGUAUAAUAGUACACAUAUAUGUAACAUAAUAAUGGUAGAUCUAAUAGUAGGAGUGAAAGGCUGUCAAGUCUGGUGAUAUCUUGUUAACUUUGAAACGUAUAUAGUACUGUUACGGCUCACCAGUGACAAGGCUGGUGGCCAUUAUAUAAUAGGUUUUUAUGGUAAGGCAAAGUCUAAUCGCUAGUAUUCGUUCAACUUAAACAUUUAUAUCCACUGAUAAUAGAGUAUAAAAGUUGAUAUCUAAUUACCACAGAUAUUUAUACUGUGGGUAUAAGUAAUCUACUUACCGCUGAUGAACUCGGCAACAUUUCCUUCACCUGUUUAUCAAAAACAUCGCCAAUAGUAAACACCAUUGGUAAAUUCUGCUCAAUGUAUUAUAAAUAGCCGCAGUACCCUGACUGUGCAAAGGUAGCAUAAUCAUUUGGCUUAUAAUUGAAGUCUCGUAUGAAUGGACACAUGGGGGGAAGCUCUAUUAGUGGUAUUUGUGAACUUUCUUAGUGGGUGCAAAUACCCAUAGUUAACUAAAAGACGAGAAGACCCUAGAAAUUUUUAUAACAUGCCAGAAGAAAUUUUUGUUGGGGCAACAUAGUAGCAAUAAAACCUACACUAAUGACAUGGCAUAUUAUGGUAAGAUUAAAUUACUCUAGGGAUAACAGCGUAAUUCGGUACGAGAUUGCGACCUCGAUGUUGGACUAGGAAGCAGAUACUUAGAA